AGAUUGAACGCUGGCGGCAGGCCUAACACAUGCAAGUCGAGCGGAAACAGAGAGUAACUUGUUACUUUGCUGUCGAGCGGCGGACGGGUGAGUAAUGCUUGGGAAACUGCCCAGUCGAGGGGGACAACCAUUGGAAACGAUGGCUAAUACCGCAUACGCCCUACGGGGGAAAGAAGGGGACUCUUCGGAGCCUUUCGCGAUUGGAUGUGCCCAAGUGGGAUUAGCUAGUUGGUGAGGUAAAGGCUCACCAAGGCGACGAUCCCUAGCUGGUUUGAGAGGAUGAUCAGCCACACUGGAACUGAGACACGGUCCAGACUCCUACGGGAGGCAGCAGUGGGGAAUAUUGCACAAUGGGCGCAAGCCUGAUGCAGCCAUGCCGCGUGUAUGAAGAAGGCCUUCGGGUUGUAAAGUACUUUCAGCGAGGAGGAAAGGUUGUAGUUUAAUAAACUACAGCUGUGACGUUACUCGCAGAAGAAGGACCGGCUAACUCCGUGCCAGCAGCCGCGGUAAUACGGAGGGUCCGAGCGUUAAUCGGAAUUACUGGGCGUAAAGCGUACGCAGGCGGUUUGUUAAGCGAGAUGUGAAAGCCCCGGGCUCAACCUGGGAACUGCAUUUCGAACUGACAAACUAGAGUUUUGUAGAGGGUGGUAGAAUUUCAGGUGUAGCGGUGAAAUGCGUAGAGAUCUGAAGGAAUACCAGUGGCGAAGGCGGCCACCUGGACAAUAACUGACGCUCAUGUACGAAAGCGUGGGGAGCAAACGGGAUUAGAUACCCCGGUAGUCCACGCCGUAAACGAUGUCAACUAGCCGACUGACCCCUUGAGGGUUGGGUGGCGCAGCUAACGCAUUAAGUUGACCGCCUGGGGAGUACGGCCGCAAGGUUA
rnacentral:rRNA from 1 species